GACGAACGCUGGCGGCGUGCUUAACACAUGCAAGUCGAACGGAAAGGCCCUGCUUUUGUGGGGUGCUCGAGUGGCGAACGGGUGAGUAACACGUGAGUAACCUGCCCUUGACUUUGGGAUAACUUCAGGAAACUGGGGCUAAUACCGGAUAGGAGCUCCUGCUGCAUGGUGGGGGUUGGAAAGUUUCGGCGGUUGGGGAUGGACUCGCGGCUUAUCAGCUUGUUGGUGGGGUAGUGGCUUACCAAGGCUUUGACGGGUAGCCGGCCUGAGAGGGUAACCGGCCAAAUAGGGACUGAGAUACGGCACAGACUCCUACGGGAGGCAGCAGUGGGGAAUAUUGCACAAUGGGCGGAAGCCUGAUGCAGCAGCGCCGCGUGCGGGAUGACGGCCUUCGGGUUGUAAACCGCUUUCGCCUGUGACGAAGCGUGAGUGACGGUAAUGGGUAAAGAAGCACCGGCUAACUACGUG
rnacentral:rRNA from 1 species